UCAUUUCAACCCUCAAGCUCUGCUUGGUGUUGGGGCCCUACGGCUGCCGUAGGCCCUGAAAGGAAGUGGCGGGCUCGCUACAACUCCGAGCGUAGUAAUUCAUUAUCUCGCUAGGGAAGAGUAGCUUGCUCCUGCCGUUAAAGACCCCAUCUUUAACCAAGGUUGACCUCGGAUCAGGUAGGAAUACCCGCUGAACUUAA
rnacentral:misc_RNA from 1 species